AUUGAACGCUGGCGGCAUGCUUUACACAUGCAAGUCGAACGGCAGCGCGGGCUUCGGCCUGGCGGCGAGUGGCGAACGGGUGAGUAAUGCAUCGGAACGUGCCCAGUAGUGGGGGAUAGCCCGGCGAAAGCCGGAUUAAUACCGCAUACGACCUGAGGGUGAAAGCGGGGGACCGAAAGGCCUCGCGCUAUUGGAGCGGCCGAUGUCGGAUUAGCUAGUUGGUGGGGUAAAGGCUUACCAAGGCGACGAUCCGUAGCUGGUCUGAGAGGACGACCAGCCACACUGGGACUGAGUCACGGCCCAGACUCCUACGGGAGGCAGCAGUGGGGAAUUUUGGACAAUGGGGGCAACCCUGAUCCAGCCAUGCCGCGUGCGGGAAGAAGGCCUUCGGGUUGUAAACCGCUUUUGUUCGGGAAGAAAUCCUCUGGGCUAAUACCCCGGGGGGAUGACGGUACCGGAAGAAUAAGCACCGGCUAACUACGUG
rnacentral:rRNA from 1 species